GGGAAGGAUUGGUAAUGGGACUGGUGGAUAGGAAAUGUGUGAUGUUUCCCAAAGCUCUUGCUCGAUACUCUGUUUUUUAGUAGCUAUGAUGGCGUACGAUAAAACGCCAGUAAUACACAAGUUCACUACUGUAACAAGGCUGAGACCGGCGACAAUGAAAGUAGUAGUGGUGAAGGUAAUAAUAAUAGUAAUAAUAAUAAUAAUAAUAAUAAUAAUAAUGACGGUCAGCCCAUCGUUUCUGCGUGGCGUGAAAAUAAAAGCACGAGGGAGUGACGCAGCCUCGAAGCGUGACCGCGGUAUCACAACACGUCGCGGGUGGGGCACACACGGCCAUGGGUGGAACACACACACACACACACACACACACACACACACACACACACACACAGAGACUAAGUGAGGAUGUAGUAUCGGCGAGGCGUGUGCAAAUCCUUAAGGAAAAGUUGGAUAAAUGCAGAUACGGAGACGGAACCUCACGAGCGUAAAGCAUAGGCCCUGUAAAACUACAACUAGGUAAACACACACCAAAUUACACUAACAUCCCAUCAGUCACAUUAGUAGUUAUCUUAUGAAGUAUGUUUUGUUCUUUCGUUCUUUCUGAAGAUGGAUUACUUAUCAUUUCUUUACUUAUUCUAUUACAGUGAGCGCCAAGAGACAAGUUAUCACCCCGAAGGACAUGUGUAUAACGCCGCUGAAGGAUAACUCUUGAAGCCGAGGAAUGGCCUGGUGGAAUAAGGCAAGACGUGUCACAGCUCUCUGGACAGGAAAAGCUGAGCGAUGGGUCAACCGCGCCACAAUGAAAGCAAACCAGGCCUCGUGUUUAAGCCUGCCAGGUGAACGGACAAGUGGAGCAGAGCCCAGGCACUUCCCACGUCAGCGGUGAGUCAUGCACGCCUCCAUUGCUCCGGUCUACCCUCUGCUUCCUGGCACCGUGGCCCUGCGUGCGGCGAUGAGGUUUUCCCUAGGAGGAUGCUGGGAGGGAGGCUGACACGAGGGCUGUGUGGUCUGCAAAUAAAACUCAAGGACUUCCCAUUAAAAAGUGACUAGCUUCAAUAAGUACUUGAGACUUCCAGUGGGGCAAGAAGUUGGCAAACCCUUCAGCAUGCCUGAAAGGAAAACUUGGUCCUGAAUAUCUGUACAGCAGCGCCUCUGCAAUACUUGGUGAUGGUGUGGGAUUGAGCUGAGCUGCACGCCACCCCCACCCUGCCCCUGAGGCGGUGAUGCUGCACUAGGAAGAGUCCACAGCCUCAAGAGGAGACACAACGUAAACAUGAU